GCUUUUGACUUCACGACAUUAGUUUUCCUCUUGUGGUGUGAUUAUAAAGCCUGUUUGUUAUCGGCCAUAGAAAUCAGAUUGCAUUAUUUUCUGGCUGAGAUCUUGUGUAUUUCAGAAAUUGCAGGAGUCCUGGGUGACCUCUCUGAUUCCAGCUGUUGUUCAGAUAUUGCAGAAGACCUGGACGACGUCUCUGAUUCCAGCUCUUGUUCAGAACAAGAAGACGGUGAGAAAUCUGAAGCGGUGUCUGAUGAGUCUCCGACCACAAAAGAAGGCAAAGGGGAACCAAGAUCUGAUCAAUCAAGUGAUCCUGCACAGGUCCCUGAUAAAGAGAAAGCACGCCGUCGAAAGGGUUCAAAAAAGAAACAACCAGAAGCAGACCAUGAUGAAGAUAAGGACGAAGAAGAUGAGGACGAUGAUGAUGACAGUGAUCAUGAUAGAGUGGUGUAUAUUGGAGAUAAUCAGGAUGAGGCCAAUGCAGCCAAAUGUAAAGAAGAGGAGAUGCGCGCUGAGGAAGAGAACCAAAAACAGUGGAAGAUGGCGAAGAAGGUGAUGCUGGGAGCUGGUGUGGCAGCAGUAGUGGUGGGUGGUGCGGGUUUAGCGGUGGCUACAGGAGGAAUGUCCAUACUCGCCAAGCUUGCACUUGCUGCAGGUAUAGGUGCAGCAAAACAAUACAGAAACAAGAGCAUUAAAAAAGCGAAAGAAAAAGAGAAAGAAAAAGAGAAAGAAAAAGAAAAGGAGAAAAAAUGAAAAAAAAUUUAUUACUGUAAACAUUUACUGCAGUAAAUUUUGAACAACUGGGAAAUAGGACAUACUAGUUUUAUGUAUGACAUGGUUUAAUUUGACCACAUACAGUUGAAGUCUGAAUUAUUAGCCUCCCUGUAUUAUUAACCCCCCCUGAUUAUUUUUUUGCCCUAUUUCUGUUAAACGGGGAGCAGAUUUUUCAACACAUUUCUAAUCAUAAUAGCUUUAAUAACUCAUCUCUGAUAACUGAUUUAUUUUCUCUUUGCCAUGAUGACAGUAAAUAAUAUUUGACUAGAUGUUUUUCAAGACACUUCUAUACAGCUUACAGUGACAUUUAAAGGCUUAACCAGGUUAAUUAGGUUAACAGGCAAGUUAUUGUCUAAAAAAUGGCUUGUUAUGUAGACUAUCGAACAAAUAUUAAAAGGGCUAAUAAUUUGACCUUAAAAUAAAAAAAAAAGUAAAACUUCUUUUAUUCUUGCCGAAUUAAAACAAAUAAAACUUUCUCCAGAAGAAAAAAUAUUAUCAGACAUACUGUGAAAAUUUUCUUGCUCUGUUAAGCAUCAUUUGGAAAAUGUAUUUAAAAAAGAGGAAACAAUUUAAAGUGGGGCAAAUAAUUCUGACUUCAACUGUACAUCAUGUUGAAUUACACGUAUAUGAAUGCUCUGUGUGUACGAAACACAAAAAGCUUUUAGUUUUGAUAAUAUUGUGGUGGUUUCCUGAACAGAGACUAGUUUGUGUCCGCUUUAAACACAGUAUAUAUGUGUGUUGUAUGUGUUUUUUUAAUUCAGCUGUCUCAUAACAGAUCAAAGCAUAUGGCUGUUUUUAAUUUGUCACAUUCAGCACUGGUUAGGUUGUAUUCAUUUCUGCUUUAUGUACAGUAACAUGAGGUGGUAGUUCUGAUUCUUCUCUGUCUCCACAACAAUGUUGAUCCAUAUUAUUUGUUUCAAUUAAAAAUAUAUAUUAAACAGCAGCAA
rnacentral:lncRNA from 1 species